rnacentral:rRNA from 1 species
AACGUACGCUGGCGGCACGCCUAAUACAUGCAAGUCGAACGAAGUAGCAAUACUUAGUGGCAGACGGGUGAGUAACAUGUGGGUAUCUUCCCUUUGGUGAGGAAUAACACGAGGAAACUUGUGCUAAUACCUCAUAAGUCUUUACGGAGAAAGCUUUAUGCGCCAAUGGAUGAGCCCGCACUUGAUUAGUUUGUUGGUGAGGUAAUGGCUCACCAAGACUUUGAUCAAUAGCUGAUUUGAGAGGAUGAUCAGCCACAUUGGGACUGAGACACGGCCCAAACUCCUACGGGAGGCAGCAGUAGGGAAUCUUGCACAAUGGGGGAAACCCUGAUGCAGCGAUGCCGCGUGAGUGAAGAAGGCCUUUGGGUUGUAAAGCUCUUUCGUCGGGGAAGAAAAUGACUGUACCCGAAUAAGAAGGUCCGGCUAACUUCGUGCCAGCAGCCGCGGUAAUACGAAGGGACCUAGCGUAGUUCGGAAUUACUGGGCUUAAAGAGUUCGUAGGUUGUUAAAAAAGUUGGUGGUGAAAUCCCAGAGCUUAACUCUGGAACUGCCAUCAAAACUUUUUAGCUAGAGUUUGAUAGAGGAAAGCAGAAUUUCUAGUGUAGAGGUGAAAUUCGUAGAUAUUAGAAAGAAUACCAAUUGCGAAGGCAGCUUUCUGGAUCAUUACUGACACUGAGGAACGAAAGCAUGGGUAGCGAAGAGGAUUAGAUACCCUCGUAGUCCAUGCCGUAAACGAUGUGUGUUAGACGUUGGAAAUUUAUUUUCAGUGUCGCAGCGAAAGCAAUAAACACACCGCCUGGGGAGUACGACCGCAAGGUUAAAACUCAAAUGAAUUGACGGGGACCCGCACAAGUAGUGGAGCAUGUGGUUUAAUUCGAAGAUACGCGCAGAACCUUACCAACACUUGACAUGUUCGUCGCGACUUUAAGAGAUUAAAGUUUUCGGUUCGGCCGGACGAAACACAGGUGCUGCAUGGCUGUCGUCAGCUCGUGUCGUGAGAUGUUGGGUUAAGUCCCGCAACGAGCGCAACCCUCACUUUUAGUUGCCAUCAUUUAGUUGGGCACUCUGAAAGAACUGCCAGUGAUAAGCUGGAGGAAGGUGGGGAUGACGUCAAGUCCUCAUGGCCCUUACGUGUUGGGCUACACACGUGCUACAAUGGCAUUUACAACAGGAAGCAAGACGGCGACGUUAAGCAAAUCCUAAAAAAAUGCCUCAGUUCGGAUUGUACUCUGCAACUCGAGUACAUGAAGCUGGAAUUACUAGUAAUCGCGGAUCAGCGCGCCGCGGUGAAUACGUUCCCGGGUCUUGUACACACCGCCCGUCACACCAUGGGAGUUGGUUCUACCUUAAGGCAAAGGUUAAAAACUUUGACCACGGUAUAGUCAGCGACUGGGGUG